GAUGAACGCUGGCGGCGUGCCUAAUACAUGCAAGUCGAGCGAACAGACGAGGAGCUUGCUCCUCUGACGUUAGCGGCGGACGGGUGAGUAACACGUGGAUAACCUACCUAUAAGACUGGGAUAACUUCGGGAAACCGGAGCUAAUACCGGAUAAUAUAUUGAACCGCAUGGUUCAAUAGUGAAAGACGGUUUUGCUGUCACUUAUAGAUGGAUCCGCGCCGCAUUAGCUAGUUGGUAAGGUAACGGCUUACCAAGGCGACGAUGCGUAGCCGACCUGAGAGGGUGAUCGGCCACACUGGAACUGAGACACGGUCCAGACUCCUAAGGGAGGCAGCAGUAGGGAAUCUUCCGCAAUGGGCGAAAGCCUGACGGAGCAACGCCGCGUGAGUGAUGAAGGUCUUCGGAUAGUAAAACUCUGUUAUUAGGGAAGAACAAAUGUGUAAGUAACUAUGCACGUCUUGACGGUACCUAAGCAGAAAGCCACGGCUAACUACGU
rnacentral:rRNA from 1 species